rnacentral:rRNA from 1 species
UACGUAGGGCGCAAGCGUUGUCCGGAAUUAUUGGGCGUAAAGAGCUCGUAGGCGGCUUGUCACGUCGAUUGUGAAAGCCCGAGGCUUAACCUCGGGUCUGCAGUCGAUACGGGCUAGCUAGAGUGUGGUAGGGGAGAUCGGAAUUCCUGGUGUAGCGGUGAAAUGCGCAGAUAUCAGGAGGAACACCGGUGGCGAAGGCGGAUCUCUGGGCCUUACCUGACGCUGAGGAGCGAAAGCAUGGGGAGCAAACAGG